rnacentral:rRNA from 1 species
GAUGAACGCUGGCGGCGUGCUUAACACAUGCAAGUCGAACGGAAAGGCUCCUGCUUGCAGGGGUACUCGAGUGGCGAACGGGUGAGUAACACGUGGGUGAUCUGCCCUGCACUUCGGGAUAAGCCUGGGAAACUGGGUCUAAUACCGGAUAGGACGAUGGUUUGGAUGCCAUUGUGGAAAGUUUUUCGGUGUGGGAUGAGCUCGCGGCCUAUCAGCUUGUUGGUGGGGUAAUGGCCUACCAAGGCGUCGACGGGUAGCCGGCCUGAGAGGGUGUACGGCCACAUUGGGGCUGGGAUACGGCCCGGCCUCCCAGGGGGGGCAGCAGGGGGGAAUAUUGCACAAGGGGCGAAAGCCGGAUGCAGGGACCCCGGGUGGGGGAUGACGGCCUUCGGGUUGUAAACUCCUUUCGCUGGGGACGAAGCGAAAGUGACGGUACCUGGAGAAGAAGCACCGGCUAACUACGU